rnacentral:lncRNA from 1 species
UGGUAACAGCUGAGGUGAACCAGAUGAGGUGCCCACUACUUAUCGGGAGUGGCUCUGUUUAAUGCAGCCCUAUGCUGUGGAUAAGUGUUCAUGCUAUGGUUGGUUUGCAAACUCAGAUCUCAACAGAAACGUGACAAGGCCGUUAUCACUCAAGCACUUGUGGCCAUUGAACAAGGGGCCUCCCCUAAAAUUUGGUUAUCUAUCUUCAAAAAUUAGUCGGUAUCUGAGUUCUCUGCUCUUGCACCCCAUGGAUCUGUGGAUCCAUUGCACUGGGAUGAGAGAGACUCAAUGAUCCUUUGAUCAGCCCUUCCACAUCUGAGGUUUCCUCAUUGCACGCGAUAGGGUGAUCAUGAUUGUUAUAAAUAAAAUAAUAAGGGGGAGAUGUAGAGGGCCGCAAUAACAUUCGCCACCACAAGAUGGCGCUGGCUUCCACUGCGCCCCACGUGGAAAGCUGGGAUAGCUUUCGCCAUUACAAGAUGGCGCUGGCCUCCGCUGCGCCAGCCGACUUCCUUUCAGGAAGUUAACUGUGUGCGCAUGUGCAAGAGUGCCUUCGUGCCAGGUCUUUGCCCACUCCAGGGCGUGCUUAAUGAGAUCAUGGGUAAGCAACCAAUCAGGUGUGGAUGCGCCGCGCUAGGGUGUAUAUAAGCUGCGCCAUGCUGGCGCCGGCGCCCUCUCUAUUAUUAAUAAAUAUAAACAUUUGGCUACAGAAGGAUUCGUGUGUUCCCGCGUAUUCUUGCUGG